rnacentral:piRNA from 1 species
UNGUCAGAGGGGCCAAGGCUAUGCUUUU